CACACACACACGCAGGGACACUGAUAUAUGCUUAGUACACAUUGUUUCCUUGCAGCACAUGGUAUUAGAUCCACGCUACACCCACGCUACGCCCACGACACUGAUUCUAUUUCAAAAUGAGUGAGAAUGACACACGCUUUCUGAAAUGCUUCACUCUCAUCAUAAGUAUUUUCAAAGGCCACAGAAAGUUAUUAGCUGGGUUCUCAAGAGUGUUUCCCCUGUUAAUAAUGUAGAAAUUUUGUUAAUCUGCCGCUAGAAGUAUAAAAACAGCCUUUACCCCUUUCAUUACAGCACGAAACAUUUAGCAGCACCAUAAGCAAUGUGUGAAGUGUUUUAUAAGCGUCUACAGGAAAGUUACCUAUGAAAAAGGAUACAUUUUGCAAUUUCUUCUCAGUUCAAAGGUCGGAUGUGGCUGCAGGACAAGUAAAGACGUCUCAGAGUGACUGGUAAUUAAGGAAAGGUGUACCAAAUGACAGUCAAUGGAUUAAAACGAGCGUAACUUCAACCCGAGCCUUUGAGUGUAGUGGAGGUGCGGCGCAGAAGUUUUUAGAAAAUAUAGUUCGUAGUCCUAUGACGGUCUUUAACUCCUUCAGUACUGGGACACAUUUUUACCUCGAGAUUUGUGUACGAUUAAAUGAUUUUAUCUACAUUAGGAAGGUUCUAUGAAGGUCAGAAGAUUAAUGGCCACAGUCUUCACUAUUCUAAUUUCUCAAGCUGUAUUAAAUCACCAAGUAGUAAGCAGAAUGAAUAUGGAAACGCGUCAUGGUACUGAAGGGGUUAAUAUCUCCAGAUCUCUGUAGUAUUAUUUUUCCAAGCCAUAUAGAUAAUAUAAUCGGGUUCUCAUUAGUGUUUUGUACUCGAUGAUGUAGAAUUCGUAUGAAAAGUAUCACUAGAAUCAUCAGAACACCAUUGAAAGUUGAUAUUCACUACACUACAGUCUGUUUGAAAGUAGAUGAACUGAAACACUGAGACGUUUGAGAAUGAACCCCUAAAACGAAGCACUUGGUCUCGUAUGAUUCACUCUAUUCAUGUAUUAUAAUCUCAUACUAAUAUAUUUAAAAGCGUAGUGGAAGUCAUUGAUAUUUGUAUUUUAUUAUAAUCCUAAACAUCAAUAUUGUAACUUCACUAUAAUUCAUUUCGUAUUUGAUUUUCUUCUCACUUUUCAUGAACUCCCCCCUUGCCAGACCGCCGCUAGAUGGCUCUGCUGCGCCACGCCACGCCACGCCACGCCACAUCACAUCACCCUGCCUGGUCUGCCCUUCCACGUCCCUGCGUCGCCUGGUGUGUACGUGAGGUCAUUCCCCUCACUGGCGUCACUUCGCCCCUACAGCUGCUCAUCUGGACCAAUGGGACGCCAGGAGCAAGGUACAGUCGUGCGUGUAAACAUUGGAGGCAGGUGUGACGAUGAAAGGCAGGUGUGACGAUGAAGGGCAGGUGUGACGAUGAAGGGCAGGUAUGACGAUGAAGGGCAGGUGUGACGAUGAAGGGCAGGUGUGACGAUGAAGGGCAGGUGUGACGAUGAAGGGCAGGUGUGACGAUGAAGGGCAGGUGUGACGACGAAAGUUCCAGAUAUGCAGAUUAAGAGUACAACAAUAAUUCCAAAGUGUUCAGGUAUUCAGACAAAUUGGAGGAGGUGAAACGAAACACAGGUGCAGGGAGGUGGGUUUAUUCCCGACUAGUUUCGCUGAUUCCCUUGAAGAAACAGCAGCGAAACUCA
rnacentral:lncRNA from 1 species